rnacentral:rRNA from 1 species
ACGGUAGCUAAUACCGCAUAAUGUCGCAAGACCAAAGAGGGGGACCUUCGGGCCUCUUGCCAUCGGAUGUGCCCAGAUGGGAUUAGCUUGUUGGUGAGGUAACGGCUCACCAAGGCGACGAUCCCUAGCUGGUCUGAGAGGAUGACCAGCCACACUGGAACUGAGACACGGUCCAGACUCCUACGGGAGGCAGCAGUGGGGAAUAUUGCACAAUGGGCGCAAGCCUGAUGCAGCCAUGCCGCGUGUAUGAAGAAGGCCUUCGGGUUGUAAAGUACUUUCAGCGGGGAGGAAGGGAGUAAAGUUAAUACCUUUGCUCAUUGACGUUACCCGCAGAAGAAGCACCGGCUAACUCCGUGCCAGCAGCCGCGGUAAUACGGAGGGUGCAAGCGUUAAUCGGAAUUACUGGGCGUAAAGCGCACGCAGGCGGUUUGUUAAGUCAGAUGUGAAAUCCCCGGGCUCAACCUGGGAACUGCAUCUGAUACUGGCAAGCUUGAGUCUCGUAGAGGGGGGUAGAAUUCCAGGUGUAGCGGUGAAAUGCGUAGAGAUCUGGAGGAAUACCGGUGGCGAAGGCGGCCCCCUGGACGAAGACUGACGCUCAGGUGCGAAAGCGUGGGGAGCAAACAGGAUUAGAUACCCUGGUAGUCCACGCCGUAAACGAUGUCGACUUGGAGGUUGUGCCCUUGAGGCGUGGCUUCCGGAGCUAACGCGUUAAGUCGACCGCCUGGGGAGUACGGCCGCAAGGUUAAAACUCAAAUGAAUUGACGGGGGCCCGCACAAGCGGUGGAGCAUGUGGUUUAAUUCGAUGCAACGCGAAGAACCUUACCUGGUCUUGACAUCCACGGAAGUUUUCAGAGAUGAGAAUGUGCCUUCGGGAACCGUGAGACAGGUGCUGCAUGGCUGUCGUCAGCUCGUGUUGUGAAAUGUUGGGUUAAGUCCCGCAACGAGCGCAACCCUUAUCCUUUGUUGCCAGCGGUCCGGCCGGGAACUCAAAGGAGACUGCCAGUGA